rnacentral:lncRNA from 1 species
GAAACCUUUAAUUGCACAAUAUAUUUAUAAGAUCUUGACAUUUGUUUUGUGUCAGAAACACAUAUUAUGUCAAAAUUUUAUCAGAAUCAAAAUUCAGAGCUGUAUCAAGCUUCAAUGUUGUGUCCAUACUUACCACAACUGUUCAGGUUUCGACCUCUGCGGUCGUAUAAAGCUGCAUGCACCUUGCGGAGCACCUGAUUUAAAAACAGAGAGGAGAACGCCAAUGCGACACAAUCAGUCCUACAUUGUUUCACAUUGUUUAACAUUUUCAUUAAUGAUAUAAAUGAUAUAUUUUUAAAUGAAUGCUUUAGACCACUUAAACUAGUAGAUUCAGAUUUAAAUAGUCUUCUCUUUGCAGAUGACAUAAUUUUACUCUUAGAAACUAAAGAUGGACUUCAAAAUAGUAUGAAUAAAUUAUCCCAAUACUGUGAUAAAUGGCACUUAACAGUAAACAUAAAGAAGACAAAAUACAUGUUAUUUCAGAAACAAAAACUGUAAAUUAGAAAAACCAAUUAUUAAAUAUAAAACUCAAAUGAUGAUUGACAAUGUUUAAGAAUAUAAAUUUCUUGGGUCUGUUCUUAGAAGAAAUGGUAACCUUAACUAUAGCUUUAAUGAUCUAGCCAAGAAAGCUAUGAAGAUUAUAUUUGCUUUAUGUUCCUGAUUUUCAGCUAUUUGUAAUGUGCCAAUCAAAGUAGCAUUUAGCUUUUUGAUUCAUUAGUCAGACCCGUAUUAAAGUAUGUAUGAUGGACUCAUACCUACCAUUCAUAACAGCAAAAACUCGUGCAAACUAUAGUAACAAAAUUUUUGAUCCAUUUUUUUUUAUAGAUAGAUCACCUUUUGAAAAGGUUCAUUUAUCAUUCUGUAAAUAUAUAUUGGGUGUUAGAAAAUGCUCAACAAAUUUGGCAACUCAUCUUAAAUAUAGAAGGUUACCAAUAGAAAAUUUUAUUAAAUAUAAAAAAAGAAGAUGUGGUAUGAUUGCCAAUGAGACAACUAACCACAAAAGACCAAAAUGACACAAACAUUAACAACUAUAGGUCACCGUACGGCCUUCAACAAUGAGCAAAGCCCAUACAGCAUAGUCAGCUAUAAAAGGCCCUAAUAAGUAAAACAAUUCAAACCAGAAAACUGACAGCCUUAUUUAUGUAAAAAAAUAAACGAAAAACAAAUAUGGAACACAUAAACAAAAACAACCACUGAAUUACAGGCUCCUGACUUGGGACAGGCACAUACAUAAAUAAUGUGGCUGGGUCUACUUUAUUUGGCUAGGCUACACACUAAAGAUACUAAUCCUCUUUUUAAAGAAUCAUUUGAAAUUUGUAAGAUGUUAGAUUCUUAAAAUGUGUACUCCUGGUAUACAUAUGCCAAAGAUAUUAUCCAUAAAGAGAUAGAGGAUCCCAAUAAGUUGUGUCUUCAUGUAAAACUAUAAAGGAAGUCAAAUCUCUAAAAAAAAAUGUUAUCAAAGGAGGAAUUUCAAAUAAAUAUAAAAGCCUGUAUAAAACUAAUAUUGAAAAUUUAUGUGAACAUAAUAAACUUUUUCUUUACAAAGAUCUCAAAACAGAUACUGAGAC